GUAGAGUUAUGCCUAAUUAAGAUUGUUUUCUAUUAGACUGCGAAACUAAAAUCCGUGAAAUGGCGUGAAUAUUAGUCAAUAUGGUAUUCUUGUUUAAUUUGAGCAAGUUGUCAGAUUAUUAAACUAUAAGACGUAUGUUUGCAAGAAUCGCAUAACUAAUAGCUUCAGCUUUACUAGUUCUCAUGUUUAAAAUAAAGUAAUUCGGGAUCUUU
rnacentral:lncRNA from 1 species